rnacentral:ncRNA from 1 species
UUGAUAGGGGUAGUUGACAAUUGAAUCAAAUUUUGACCAUUAUUUUCAUAUCUAAAAUAGUGCAACAGUGGGGAAUUUUCCGCAAUGGGAGAAAGCCUGAUGGAGCAAUGCCGCGUGGAGGUAAAAGGCCCAUGGGUCGUGAACUUCUUUUCUCGGAGAAGAAGUAAUGAAGGUAUCUAGGGAAUAAUGAUUGGCUAACUAUAUGCCAGCAACCGUGGUAAUACAGAGGAUGCAAGCAA